ACGAACCCACGUGAACCACUCAAAAGCCCGGGCAGUUUUCAGGUCCCCUCCUCCCCCCAACACCCCCGGUCGCUUUUAUUCUUCUUCCUUCUACUUCUACAGUUCUGCUUCUGCUUCUGCCUCGUUCCGAUUAAACGCGGAGGAAGUCCCCGAUCCGCCAUUGCGAGUUCCAAUCCCGUGUCUGGGUAUCCCGGCGAGCAUUCCCAUGGAUGCCUGAUCCUCGACCCGACUCGCUCCCAACUCACAUCCGCUUCACUCUCCCCCACAAGCCGAGCAGAGAGUUGACGCUGCUGCUGUUGGUGAUCAUAGAGAAAAGUUCGUUAGGGGCAAGGUUUUUUGAUUGGUGAGGUACUUUGGCAGGGCUUGGCGGAUAUCGAUUUGGUGAGGAUUCUGAAUUGAAGAGUUUUGUUUUGUGUGUUUCGGGUUCGGGGUCGGUUUUGGAGGAGCAGAAAGUGUUCCGCUCUCCUCCUCCUCCUCCUCCUCCCUCUCUCUCUCUCUCCACCCACUCCGUGUUGUCUGUAUCGGUCACGAUGGAUUCGGUAUACGCUCUCCUCCUGGAACUUGGUGAAGAACUUCCCCCAAUUCGCGCAUAUUGACAGUUUCUUUUUGAGCGGUUCCGAAGUGGAAUGCAUCGUUGUGAUGAUUCAAAGCGUACACGGAUCUCUAUCAGUUAGUGUUGUUUCAUCUCUCUUCUUUUAUUUUAUAUUAUUUUCUUGAAAUAAUAAAUAUUUAUUUAUCUUGUAAUUAAACAUGUGAUCCCACCCAUCGAAAUUCCGAUUGAAUCCAUAUCUCGACCGGUUUGA